rnacentral:rRNA from 1 species
AUUGAACGCUGGCGGCAGGCCUAACACAUGCAAGUCGAGCGGAUGAAGGGAGCUUGCUCCUGGAUUCAGCGGCGGGCGGGUGAGUAAUGCCUAGGAAUCUGCCUGGUAGUGGGGGAUAACGUCCGGAAACGGGCGCUAAUACCGCAUACGUCCUGAGGGAGAAAGUGGGGGAUCUUCGGACCUCACGCUAUCAGAUGAGCCUAGGUCGGAUUAGCUAGUUGGUGGGGUAAAGGCCUACCAAGGCGACGAUCCGUAACUGGUCUGAGAGGAUGAUCAGUCACACUGGAACUGAGACACGGUCCAGACUCCUACGGGAGGCAGCAGUGGGGAAUAUUGGACAAUGGGCGAAAGCCUGAUCCAGCCAUGCCGCGUGUGUGAAGAAGGUCUUCGGAUUGUAAAGCACUUUAAGUUGGGAGGAAGGGCAGUAAGUCAAUACCUUGCUGUUUUGACGUUACCAACAGAAUAAGCACCGGCUAACUUCGUG